rnacentral:tRNA from 5 species
GGUUCGAUGGUGUAGUUGGUUAUCACGUCAGUCUAACACUGUUAGUUCACUGAAGGUCUCCAGUUCAAGUCUGGGUCGAAUCA